UAAGACGAACCGUGCGAACGUUGUUCGGAAUCACUGGGCUUAAAGGGCGCGUAGGCGGAUCGUACAGUCUAGGGUGAAAUACUCCGGCUUAACCGGAGAACUGCCUUGGAUACUAACGAUCUCGAGGGAGGCAGGGGCAGUUGGAACUUCCGGUGGAGCGGUGAAAUGCGUUGAUAUCGGAAGGAACGCCGGUGGCGAAAGCGAACUGCUGGACCUCUACUGACGCUGAGGCGCGAAAGCCAGGGGAGCAAACGGGAUUAGAUACCCCGGUAGUCCUGGCCCUAAACGUUGGGUACUAGGUUGUGGACUAGACAUGGGUUCACAGCCGAAGCAAAAGUGUUAAGUACCCCGCCUGGGGAGUAUGGUCGCAAGGCUG
rnacentral:rRNA from 1 species